GGGAACGUACCUUUUGGUUCGGAACAACACAGGGAAACUUGUGCUAAUACCGGAUAAGCCCUUACGGGGAAAGAUUUAUCGCCGAAAGAUCGGCCCGCGUCUGAUUAGCUAGUUGGUAGGGUAACGGCCUACCAAGGCGACGAUCAGUAGCUGGUCUGAGAGGAUGAUCAGCCACAUUGGGACUGAGACACGGCCCAAACUCCUACGGGAGGCAGCAGUGGGGAAUAUUGGACAAUGGGGGCAACCCUGAUCCAGCCAUGCCGCGUGAGUGAUGAAGGCCCUAGGGUUGUAAAGCUCUUUUGUGCGGGAAGAUAAUGACGGUACCGCAAGAAUAAGCCCCGGCUAACUUCGUGCCAGCAGCCGCGGUAAUACGAAGGGGGCUAGCGCUGCUCGGAAUCACUGGGCGUAAAGGGUGCGUAGGCGGGUCUUUAAGUCAGGGGUGAAAUCCUGGAGCUCAACUCCAGAACUGCCUUUGAUACUGAAGAUCUUGAGUUCGGGAGAGGUGAGUGGAACUGCGAGU
rnacentral:rRNA from 1 species